CCCCUAGAUGUUCUGGGCCGCACGCGCGCUACACUGAACAGUUCAACAAGUCUUAACCUUGGCCGAUAGGUCUGGGUAAUCUUUGAACGCUGUUCGUGAUUGGGAUAGACCUUUGCAAUUAUGGGUCUUCAACGAGGAAUUCCUAGUAAACGCAAGUCAUCAGCUUGCAUUGAUUACGUCCCUGCCCUUUGUACACACCGCCCGUCGCACCUACCGAUUGAAUGGUCCGGUGAAAUCUUUGGAUUUUGAUUAUGUUUUAAUUUUGUUAAAAUGUGAUUGAAAGAAGUUGAUUAAACCUUACCAUUUAGAGGAAGGUGAAGUCGUAACA
rnacentral:rRNA from 1 species